rnacentral:ncRNA from 1 species
AAGAACCCUGCCUCGUGGUCGUCUUCUCACCGUUCACCCGGCAGGCGGACAGAGUGAGGCCCCCGCGGGGACAUGACCCGCGGGGGCUUCCG